GAUGAACGCUGGCGGCGUGCCUAAUACAUGCAAGUCGAGCGAACGGACGAGAAGCUUGCUUCUCUGAUGUUAGCGGAGGACGGGUGAGUAACACGUGGAUAACCUACCUAUCAGUCUGGGAUAACUUCGGGACAGCGGCGAUAAUACCGGAUAAUAUUCUGAUCCGCAUGGGUCAAUAGUGGAAGACGGUGUUGCUGUCUCUAAUAGAUGGAUCCGCGCUGCAUUAGCUAGUCGGUAAGGUAACGGCUUACCAAGGCAACGAUGCAUAGCAGACCUGAGAGGGGGAGCGGCCACGCUGGGACGGAGACACAGACUGGGCUUCUACGGGGGGCAGGAGUAGUAAAUCAUCCGCAAUGGGCGAAAGCCGCACGGAGCAACGCCGCGUGAGUGAUGAACGUCUUCGGAGCGUAAAACGCUGUCAUUAUGUAAAAACAUAUGUGUAAGGAACUGUGCACAUCGACACGGUACCGAAACAGAAAGCCACGGCUAUCCAUG
rnacentral:rRNA from 1 species